GGCCCCGCACAAGCGGCGGAGCAUGCGGCUUAAUUCGAUGCAACCCGAAGAACCUUACCUGGGUUUGACAUCAUGGGAAAAACUGUAGAGAUACAGUGUGCGUAAGCGUCCAUGACAGGUGGUGCAUGGCUGUCGUCAGCUCGUGUCGUGAGAUGUUGGGUUAAGUCCCGCAACGAGCGCAACCCUCGUUCUAUGUUGCCAGCGGGUUAUGCCGGGGACUCAUAGGAGACUGCCGGGGACAACUCGGAGGAAGGUGAGGACGACGUCAAGUCAUCAUGCCCCUUAUAUCCAGGGCUGCACGCAUGCUACAAUGGCCGGUACAACGGGCAGCGAUCCUGCGAAGGUGAGCGAAUCCCUCAAAGCCGGUCUCAGUUCGGAUUGAAGUCUGCAACUCGACUUCAUGAAGCCGGAGUCGCUAGUAA
rnacentral:rRNA from 1 species